CAGUCGCCGCGGGAAUACAGAGGGUGCGAGCGUUAAUCGGAUUUGCUGGGCGUAAAGCGUGCGUAGGCGGCUUCUUAAGUCGGAUGUGAAAUCCCUGAGCUUAACUUAGGAAUUGCAUUCGAUACUGGGAAGCUAGAGUAUGGGAGAGGAUGGUAGAAUUCCAGGUGUAGCGGUGAAAUGCGUAGAGAUCUGGAGGAAUACCGAUGGCGAAGGCAGCCAUCUGGCCUAAUACUGACGCUGAGGUACGAAAGCAUGGGGAGCAAACAGGAUUAGAUACCCCGGUAGUCCCUGUCUCUUAUAC
rnacentral:rRNA from 1 species